rnacentral:misc_RNA from 1 species
GUUCUCAAAAGACUGGUUCAUCUUAACCAGGACCAACUUUAGGAAUGUCAUAAUACUCAGUAAGAUUAGCUAGGAAUCGAUUAAAUUCUUGAAUUCUAUCGCGAUGGGAUUUCUUAGCUUCUUUUGCCAGUCGUUUGAUGUUUAAUUUCUCCCACUGCUCGAGGUAUUUUCUCUCUGCUGGUGUUAGAUGAUCGUCGUUCUUGGUAGUUAGAUCAUCCUCGAGCUGGUUUG